rnacentral:ncRNA from 2 species
AACAAUUUAGAUCUUUAAGGUGCUUGGUGUCAUGCCGUUAGGUAUUGAAGUCCAAGAUAAUAGGGAAAUGGGUGAAAAUCCCAUACGGUCUCGCCGCUGUGAAGGAAGAAUCAUAUCUUGAAUAUCACUGUGUAAAAUUACAUGGGAAGAUGAGAUAUGGUGUUGACGCCUGAGUCAGAAGACCUGCCUUAAGAUAGUUUUUACA